rnacentral:rRNA from 1 species
GCAGACUCCUACGGGAGGCAGCAGUGGGGAAUAUUGCACAAUGGGCGCAAGCCUGAUGCAGCCAUGCCGCGUGUAUGAAGAAGGCCUUCGGGUUGUAAAGUACUUUCAGCGGGGAGGAAGGCGAUAAGGUUAAUAACCUUGUCGAUUGACGUUACCCGCAGAAGAAGCACCGGCUAACUCCGUGCCAGCAGCCGCGGUAAUACGGAGGGCGCAAGCGUUAAUCGGAAUUACUGGGCGUAAAGCGCACGCAGGCGGUCUGUCAAGUCGGAUGUGAAAUCCCCGGGCUCAACCUGGGAAAUGCAUUCCAAAGUGGCACCCGCGCGUCUUGUAGAGGGGGGUAGAAUUCCAGGUGUAGCGGUGAAAUGCGUAGAGAUCUGGAGGAAUACCGGUGGCGAAGGCGGCCCCCUGGACAAAGACUGACGCUCAGGUGCUUAAGCGUGGGGAGCAAACAGGAUUCGAUCACCCCGUGAA